GAUUUCUGGCACGAUGUACCUGUCCCGCUGCGGUCAACGCAUGUGAGUGACGGAGUAUGUUUGCCAUCCUUCUAGAGAGCGCAAGCUAUCCUUUACUGGACCGGUUUGUGUCAUCUAGAUCUUUUACUUUGAAAAAAUUAGAGUGUUUCAAGCAGGCAUGUUUUGCUAUGAAUACAUUAGCAUGGAAUAAUAAUCUAGGACUUUCGGUUCUAUUUUGUUGGUGUUCUGGAGCUGAAGUAAUGAUUGAUAGGGAUAGUUGGGGGUGCUAGUAUUCAAUGGCCAGAGGUGAAAUUCUCGGAUUCCUUGAAGACUAACUUAUGCGAAAGCAUU
rnacentral:rRNA from 1 species